rnacentral:lncRNA from 1 species
CUUUUCUCCCCUCCUCCCACAUUUUAGGUUUUUGAUAUCAUAUCUAACCUCUUGUGUGUGUGUGUAUCCAUUACCCUUUUAUCAUGAAAAUAGCCAAUUUUAGCACUUAUAUCUUUUGAUCUUCAUAUUAUCUUCAUAGGUGGUUGAUCUGCUACCUUUGCUAUAUUUUUGCCCUUACAAGUGAUUUUAUUGCUUUCUUUUUUUUUUUGGAUAAUAUUCUUAUUCCUGUUUGUGAUCUUCUCUUUCUCACUUCGAUAAGUCCCUUUCACAUUUCUUGUAAGACCAGUUUCUUGAUGAUAAACUCCUUUAGCUUUUGCUUCUUUGGGAAUCUCUUUCUCUCUUUCUCCAUUCUGAAUGAUAACCUUGCUGUGUAUAGUAUUCUUGGUUGUAAGUUUUUUCAUUUCAGCACUUUAAAUAUAUCAUGCCAUUCCCUUCUAGCCUGCAAGGUUUCUGCUAAGAAGUCAGCUGAUAGCCUUAUGGGGUUUCCUUUGUAUGUCAUUUGUUACGUUUCUCUUGCAGCUUUUAGGGUUCUCUCUUUAUCUUUAAUUCUUGAUGUUGUAAUUAUAACGUGUCUUGCUGUAGGCCUCUUUGAAUUUAUCUGUUUGGUGCUCUCUGUGCUUCCUGUAUAUGGAUGUCUGUUUCCUUCCUUAGGUUAGGAAAGUUUUCAGUGAUUAUUUCUUCAAAUAGAUUCUGUGCCCCUUUAUCUCUCUCUUCUCCUUCUAGGACACCUAUAAUAUGAAUAUCAUUUUACUUGAUGUUUUCCCAGAGGUCCCUUGACUGUCCUUGCUUUUUAAUUCUUUUUUCUUUUAUCUGUUCAGCUUGGGUGAUUUCCCCUAGUCUUUCAUGCAGCUCACUGCUCCAUUCUUUAUUAUCAUCUAUUCUGCUACUGAGUCCCUCUAUUGCAUUUUUUCAUUUCCAGUGUUGUAUUUGUCAUUUCUGUUUGUUUCUUUUUUUAAUUUUCCAAUUCUUUAUUGAAGUUCUCACUGAGUUCAUUCAUUCUUCUCCCAAGAUCAGUCAGCAUCAUUGUGACUUUUUGUUUGAAGUUUUUGUCAGGUAGAUUGUUUAGUUUUGUUUCAUUUAGCUCUUUUUUCUGAGGUUUUGUCCUGUUUCCUUAUUUGGAACAUAUUCCUUUUCCUCCUCAUUUUGCCUCUUUCUUUUUUUUUUGCUUAUAUCUAUGUAUUAGGCAGGUCAGCUAUGUCUCCUGAUCUCAGAGAGAUGGCC